GGUUACCUUGUUACGACUUCACCCCAGUCGCUGAUCGUACCGUAGUCAAAGGUUUUAUGCUUUGCCUUGAGGUGUAACCAACUUCCAUGGUGUGACGGGCGGUGUAUACAAGACCCGGGAACGUAUUCACCGUGGCGCGCUGAUCCACGAUUACUAGCAAUUCCAGCUUCAUGUACUCGAGUUGCAGAGUACAAUCCGAACUGAGGUACCUUUUUGGGAUUGGCUUAGAGUCGCCUCUUAGCAUCCCAUUGUAAGUACCAUUGUAGCACGUGUGUAGCCCAACUCAUAUGGGCCAUGAGGACUUGACGUCAUCCCCACCUUCCUCCAGUUUAUCACUGGCAGUUCUUUUAGAGUGCUCAACUAAAUGGUGGCAACUAAAAGUGAGGGUUGCGCUCGUUGCGGGGACUUAACCCAACAUCUCACGACACGAGCUGACGACAGCCAUGCAGCACUGUGUUUCGUCCAGCCGAA
rnacentral:rRNA from 1 species